rnacentral:antisense_RNA from 1 species
AGUGGGUGGUAACCACCUCUCUGAGGCAAGCCAGGACCCAUGGAGUCUGAUCUACAACACAAGCAGUAGCAGUUCCACGUCUCCCUACCUCCUCUUAUUUCCUACGAAGUCCUUCUGCCUGAAACUGGAAAACCCGAACUAUUAUUGAGGGAGUGAAGCCCUUCCAUUUGAAUCCUGAGAAAGACGCGCUCAAAGAACCCAGCGAACAAAGGAGAGGGUUGGAGCCCACGCAAAACAUGGGUGUGAUAAAGCCACACGAGACUUGAGCCCCCACCCUCAGUAACCACUCUCCAGCGCCCACCCGGGAGGAGGGAUCCGGGGAAAGGAUUGGCAUCUUCUGCUUCUUGAAUCCCCAUGCAGAAAACGUGGCUACCAACAGCUUCUGAAUCCACCUGCAGAGAGACUGACUGCUCUGUUAUUCCCCCAGCAUCUGUGAAGAGGCUCUGACUGGCUAAAAUGAAGGAGUCUGUAGCUUUAGGGGAAGACAGAGCCACAAGAUGAAAGGAGCUUGGAUGUCUGAACUAUUCCAUGGAGAAAAGCUGCAGCCAAUGAAGAACACCUGCAAUGGACUCUUAACCU